UCUCCACCCCGCCUCAGACCAGGGAUUGGUCGGAUGCUGUUGUGACCUCUGACCUCACCUCAGGGGCGGUGCUUCUGACUGUCAAUCAAAUGGUGGAGCGGUUUCGGGAGGAGCUCAAGAGACUGCCGGAGAUCUGUCUGCGUCCUCAACCUCAAACAGACCAAUCCGUGGGGAGAUAUAGUCCAAGGUUGCGUCCUCAACCUCAACCAGACCAAUCUGUGGGAAGAUGUAGUCCAAGUUUGCUUUCUCAACCAAACUAUGCUAUCGGAAAAA